rnacentral:rRNA from 1 species
AUUGAACGCUGGCGGCAUGCCUUACACAUGCAAGUCGAACGGUAACAGGUCUUCGGAUGCUGACGAGUGGCGAACGGGUGAGUAAUACAUCGGAACGUGCCUAGUAGUGGGGGAUAACUACUCGAAAGAGUGGCUAAUACCGCAUGAGAUCUACGGAUGAAAGCAGGGGAUCGCAGGACCUUGUGCUACUAGAGCGGCCGAUGGCAGAUUAGGUAGUUGGUGGGAUAAAAGCUGACCAAGCCGACGAUCUGUAGCUGGUCUGAGAGGACGAUCAGCCACACUGGGAAUGAGACACGGCCCAGACUCCUACGGGAGGCAGCAGUGGGGAAUUUUGGACAAUGGGCACAAGCCUGAUCCAGCAAUGCCGCGUGCAGGAUGAAGGCCUUCGGGUUGUAAACUGCUUUUGUACGGAACGAAAAGCCCUGGGUUAAUACCCUGGGGUCAUGACGGUACCGUAAGAAUAAGCACCGGCUAACUACGUGCCAGCCGCCGCCGUAACAC